rnacentral:rRNA from 1 species
CAUGGCCGUCGUCAGUUCGUACUGUGAAGCAUCCUGUUAAGUCAGGCAACGAGCGAGACCCACGCCCUUAGUUGCCAUCAUUAAGUUGGGCACUUUAAGGAAACUGCCGGUGAUAAGCCGGAGGAAGGUGGGGAUGACGUCAAGUCCUCAUGGCCCUUACAGGCUGGGCUACACACGUGCUACAAUGGCAUCUACAGUGGGCAGCUAUUCCGCAAGGAUGCGCUAAUCUCCAAAAGAUGUCUCAGUUCGGAUUGUCCUCUGCAACUCGAGGGCAUGAAGGCGGAAUCGCUAGUAAUCGCGGAUCAGCAUGCCGCGGUGAAUACGUUCCCAGGCCUU